CUGAAACGGAUCUCUUUUGCUUCACAAUUUACAAUGCUGGCCAGUUUCCAUGUAAUCGAUACACACACUACAUGACUACCUCCACCAGCAUUGAUCUUAAUCUUGAUAGGAAAGAAAUGGUCAUCCUUGGCACACAGUAUGCCGGGGAGAUGAAGAAGGUUUGUUCGGUGUGAUGCACUAUCUAAUGCCUAAAAGAAACAUUCUCUCCCUGCACUCUAGCAACAAUAUGGGCAAAGAUGGUGAUGUUGCCCUCUUCUUUGGACUAUCAGUACUGUUAUCCAGGUAUAUGGCUAACAAAUUUGACAAGGGCAAGGUAUGAAGUGAGGGAGAAGACAUGCACGAGGAAGAAGAAGAAGAGGCGAAGAGGGUUGAAGGGAAUGGAGAGUAUGGACUCGGAUUCAAAGUGAAGGGGAAUAAGAAGGGACAAUUUCGUUUGUUUUUUUCUCCCUUUUUUCUUUGAUGUAGUUUUUCUUUCUUCUGAAUUUGGAUUUUAAUGUGAGUAGUUGUCAAUGGUAAUAUUUGACAUAUUCUCAAUUUUCUCAAAUAAUUUCUUUUAUUUGACUUUGCUUCUUUAUUAUUGAUUUUUUUUACUAAUAUAAUCUGGGUUUGUU